ACCUGGGAAAAAGUUGCUUUUGGAGAAAAAUAAUCAGUUCUUAAAGAUAAUUUUAAAAAUUCACAGAAGAAGCAAUUUUAAAACCAGAAGCAAGCACAUCUUUAUUGUCAUGGGAGGAGUGGAUUCCAUCUAUGAAGAGCUUGAAAUCAGUUUUGAAAAUAGAGACUACCAGCUUCUUCUUGCCUGUUGAUUGUUCUUGAGAUGCCAUCUAAGGAAUGCUGUCUGGAAGCUCUUAUGAUGAGGCAACACGUGCGGAGAUGGUAAACAGCAUGCCCUAUUGCUACUGAUUGCCAUGCUCCUAGCAGACAUGGCUGACCUCACUGCCCGUUCCCAGUGAUCCUGCUCAGAGUGCUUAUCCACAGCGGUCUUGAGCCUGUUGCUACCAAUCAACCAGAAUUGAAGGUAAAAUGACACCUAUUUACCUUUCUGGUAUAGUAUAAAGAGCACCUGUGUGAGUUUGAAUCGCAUAUUUAUCAUUGUGUGACCUGGAACAGGUGAAUAAGUGUAGCUGAGCUUUAGUUUCCCAUAAAAUUGGUCACUGUCUCCUGGAUAGCAUUUUUGUGGAGAGUAAGUGAAAUCU
rnacentral:lncRNA from 1 species